AUUGAACGCUGGCGGCAUGCCUUACACAUGCAAGUCGAACGGCAGCACGGGUGCUUGCACCUGGUGGCGAGUGGCGCACGGGUGAGUAAUACAUCGGAACAUGUCCUGUAGUGGGGGAUAGCCCGGCGAAAGCCGGAUUAAUACCGCAUACGAUCUACGGAUGAAAGCGGGGGACCUUCGGGCCUCGCGCUAUAGGGUUGGCCGAUGGCUGAUUAGCUAGUUGGUGGGGUAAAGGCCUACCAAGGCGACGAUCAGUAGCUGGUCUGAGAGGACGACCAGCCACACUGGGACUGAGACACGGCCCAGACUCCUACGGGAGGCAGCAGUGGGGAAUUUUGGGCAAUGGGCGAAAGCCUGACCCAGCAAUGCCGCGUGUGUGAAGAAGGCCUUCGGGUUGUAAAGCACUUUUGUCCGGAAAGAAAUCCUUGGCCCUAAUACGGUCGGGGGAUGACGGUACCGGAAGAAUAAGCACCGGCUAACUACGUG
rnacentral:rRNA from 1 species